CGGGACGGGUGAGUAAUGCCUAGGAAUCUGCCUGGUAGUGGGGGACGAACGUUUCGAAAGGAACGCUAAUACCGCAUACGUCCUACGGGAGAAAGCAGGGGACCUUCGGGCCUUGCGCUAUCAGAUGAGCCUAGGUCGGAUUAGCUAGUUGGUGAGGUAAUGGCUCACCAAGGCGACGAUCCGUAACUGGUCUGAGAUGAUGAUCAGUCACACUGGAACUGAGACACGGUCCAGACUCCUACGGGAGGCAGCAGCG
rnacentral:rRNA from 1 species